UACAGAGGUCUCAAGCGUUGUUCGGAUUCAUUGGGCGUAAAGGGUGCGUAGGUGGCGCUGUAAGUCGGGUGUGAAAUUUCGGAGCUUAACUCCGAAACUGCAUUCGAUACUGCGGUGCUUGAGGACUGGAGAGGAGACUGGAAUUCAUGGUGUAGCAGUGAAAUGCGUAGAGAUCAUGAGGAAGACCAGUGGCGAAGGCGGGUCUCUGGACAGUUCCUGACGCUGAGGAGCGAAAGCCAGGGGAGCAAACGGG
rnacentral:rRNA from 1 species